rnacentral:lncRNA from 1 species
AUAAACUUUCAAAAGUUUCUGGAAUUUCCCAUGCCCAAAGUAUGGAUAUUCGAAAAUUACCCCAUUAUAAAAUUUAUUGCACUUUGACCCCUAAAACUUUUGUUUUGGACAAAAAGACAAUUUAUACCUAAAAUAUGUUUAAAAUUGGGCUUAAAUGGUAUAUCGGCUGGAAACUUUCCUCGUGCCCGAUAGGUUACUUCGGUAAACUGGGUCUGG